rnacentral:rRNA from 1 species
GAUGAACGCUGGCGGCGUGCCUAAUACAUGCAAGUCGGGCGAACAGAAGAGAAGCUUGCUUCUCUGAUGUUAGCGGCGGACGGGUGAGUAACACGUGGGUAACCUACCUAUAAGACUGGGAUAACUCCGGGAAACCGGGGCUAAUACCGGAUAAUAUUUUGAACCGCAUGGUUCAAUAGUGAAAGACGGUUUCGGCUGUCACUUAUAGAUGGACCCGCGCCGUAUUAGCUAGUUGGUAAGGUAACGGCUUACCAAGGCGACGAUACGGAGCCGACCUGAGAGGGUGAUCGGCCACACUGGAACUGAGACACGGUCCAGACUCCUACGGGAGGCAGCAGUAGGGAAUCUUCCGCAAUGGGCGAAAGCCUGACGGAGCAACGCCGCGUGAGUGAUGAAGGUCUUCGGAUCGUAAAACUCUGUUGUUAGGGAAGAACAAAUUUGUUAGUAACUGAACAAGUCUUGACGGUACCUAACCAGAAAGCCACGGCUAACUACGUGCCAGCCGCCGCCGUAA